rnacentral:ncRNA from 1 species
NNNNNUCUCCCCCAAGAGUCCACAUCGACGGGGAGGUUUGGCACCUCGAUGUCGGCUCAUCGCAUCCUGGGGCUGUAGUCGGUCCCAAGGGUUGGGCUGUUCGCCCAUUAAAGCGGUACGCGAGCUGGGUUCAGAACGUCGUGAGACAGUUC